GAUGCACUGGUGGAGGAGGAGAGGAAUAUUUGUAUGGCUUCUUUGGUGGUGGUGGGGAAUGGUAGUAAGGUUUAGGGCUUAACAUGCACUGGUGGUGGAGGAGAAGAAUAUUUGUAUGGUUUCUUUGGGGGUGGUGGAGAAUGGUAGUAAGGUUUAGGGUGGACAUAUGGUGGAGGAGGAGAAGAAUACUUGUAAGGUUUCUUUGGUGGUGGUGGUGGUGAACUGUAAUGGUAGGGAGGAGGAGGUGUAUAAACGGUGGGGGUGGAGAGUGGUAGUAGUAUGGUUUCUUAGGUGGUGAGUACACUGGUGGUGGUGGUGAAGAGUAAUGGUAAGGUGGUUUAACUGGAGGGUACACCCCCGGUGGUGGGGAAUGUGGAGGGUACACCUUAGGUGGUGGUGGAGAACUAUAAUGGUAAGGUGGUGAGACUGGUGGAUACACCUCAGGUGGUGGUGAAUGUGGAGGGUAUUUCUUAGGUGGUGGUGGGGAAGAGUAAUGGUAAGGUGGUUUAACUGGUGGGUACACCUUGGGUGGUGGUGAAUGUGGAGGGUACACCUUAGGAGGUGGUGGUGAAGAGUAAUGGUAAGGUGGUGAAACUGGAGGAUACACCUUAGGUGGUGGUGAAUGAGGAGGAUACUUCUUAGGUGGUGGUGGUGAAGAGUAAUGGUAAGGUGGUGAAACUGGAGGGUACACCUUAGGUGGUGGUGAAUGUGGAGGGUACACCUUAGGUGGUGGUGGUGAAGGGUAGUGGUAAGGUGGGGAAACUGGAGGGUAGACCUUAGAAGGUGGAGGAGGUGAAGAAUACAAGUAGCUGUUUGCUGAAAUUUGAGAU
rnacentral:lncRNA from 1 species